rnacentral:rRNA from 1 species
AGACGUCUACAUUAGACUACCCCGGUAGUCCCAGCCGUAAACUAUGCGCGUUAGGUGUAUCGGUGACCACGAGUUACCGAGGUGCCGAAAGGGAAACCGUGAAACGUGCCGCCUGGGAAGUACGGUCGCAAGGCUGAAACUUAAAGGAAUUGGCGGGGAGCACCACAACAGGUGGAGCCUGCGGUUUAAUUGGACUCAACGCCGGGAAGCUCACCGGAUAGGACAGCAGAAUGAUUGCCGGGCUGAAGACCCUGCAUGACUAGCUG